UUAACUUGUAAUGAAAGAGGUGCCGGGGCUCAAGCAAUUUUUGUACUUUCAUAACUGACGUGACAAGCCCAGAAAUGCUGGGGCUCAACUCCCAAAAUUGGAGGAGCCAG